rnacentral:rRNA from 1 species
CAGUCGCGCGGUAAUACAGAGGGUGCAAGCGUUAAUCGGAAUUACUGGGCGUAAAGCGCGCGUAGGUGGUUUGUUAAGUUGGAUGUGAAAGCCCCGGGCUCAACCUGGGAACUGCAUCCAAAACUGGCAAGCUAGAGUACGGUAGAGGGUGGUGGAAUUUCCUGUGUAGCGGUGAAAUGCGUAGAUAUAGGAAGGAACACCAGUGGCGAAGGCGACCACCUGGACUGAUACUGACACUGAGGUGCGAAAGCGUGGGGAGCAAACAGGAUUAGAUACCCCAGUAGUCCCUGUCUCUUAUACA